rnacentral:rRNA from 1 species
UACGGGGGGGGCAAGCGUUGUUCGGAAUUACUGGGCGUAAAGGGCUCGUAGGCGGCCAACUAAGUCAGACGUGAAAUCCCUCGGCUUAACCGGGGAACUGCAUCUGAUACUGGAUGGCUUGAGAUUGGGAGAGGGAUGCGGAAUUCCAGGUGUAGCGGUGAAAUGCGUAGAGAUCGGGAGGAACACCAGUGGCGAAGGCGGCACCCUGGCCCACACCUGACGCUGAUGUGCGAAAGCGUGGGUAGCAAACAGG